UCAAUUAGCGCAUGCGCUCUUCAUCAAAUUUUAUUACUUCCUGUUGAUGUUCACCGGUUCCACAUCAUCACUGAAUUCUCAUUUUAUUUGAUCAAAAUGCACAUCAUGAGGAAAGACAAGAAGGAGGAGGAAGAAGGAGGAGGAAAUCCAUUCCACAAUUUGGAGAAGACGGCAGUUCUUCAGGAGGCCAGGACAUUUAAUGAGACCCCAAUCAAUGCAAGUGCAGCCAUAUUCUGACUA